rnacentral:rRNA from 1 species
AGCCACGGCUAACUACGUGCCAGCAGCCGCGGUAAUACGUAGGUGGCGAGCGUUAUCCGGAAUUAUUGGGCGUAAAGGGUGCGUAGGCGGCCUGUUAAGUAAGUGGUUAAAUUGUUGGGCUCAACCCAAUCCAGCCACUUAAACUGGCAGGCUAGAGUAUUGGAGAGGCAAGUGGAAUUCCAUGUGUAGCGGUAAAAUGCGUAGAUAUAUGGAGGAACACCAGUGGCGAAGGCGGCUUGCUAGCCAAAGACUGACGCUCAUGCACGAAAGCGUGGGGAGCAAAUAGGAUUAGAUACCCUAGUAGUCCACGCCGUAAACGAUGAAUACUAAGUAUUGGGGAAACUCAGUGCUGCAGCUAACGCAAUAAGUAUUCCGCCUGUGGAGUAUGCACGCAAGUGUGAAACAUAAAGGAAUUGACGGGGGCCCGCACAAGCGGUGGAGUAUGUGGUUUAAUUCGACGCAACGCGAAGAACCUUACCAGGCCUUGACAUCCCUUGCAAAGCUGUAGAGAUACAGUAGAGGUUAUCAAGGAGACAGGUGGUGCAUGGUUGUCGUCAGCUCGUGUCGUGAGAUGUUGGGUUAAGUCCCGCAACGAGCGCAACCCUUGCCUUCAGUUACCAGCAUUCAGUUGGGGACUCUGGAGGGACUGCCGGUGAUAAACCGGAGGAAGGUGGGGAUGACGUCAAAUCAUCAUGCCCCUUAUGGCCUGGGCUACACACGUACUACAAUGGCUGUUACAACGUGCAGCGACCUAGCGAUAGGAAGCGAAUCACUAAAAGACAGUCUCAGUUCGGAUUGAAGUCUGCAACUCGACUUCAUGAAGCUGGAAUCGCUAGUAAUCGCGGAUCAGAAUGCCGCGGUGAAUACGUUCUCGGGCCUUGUACACACCGCCCGUCAUACCAUGAGAGCUGGUAAUACCCGAAGCCGGUGGCCUAACCGCAAGGAAGGAGCCGUCGAAGGUAGGACUAGUGAUUGGGGUCAAGUCGUAACAAGGUAUCCCUACGAGAACGUGGGGAUG